rnacentral:rRNA from 1 species
AUUGAACGCUGGCGGCAGGCCUAACACAUGCAAGUCGAAUGGUAACAGGAAACAGCUUGCUGUUUCGCUGACGAGUGGCGGACGGGUGAGUAAUGUCUGGGAAACUGCCUGAUGGAGGGGGAUAACUACUGGAAACGGUAGCUAAUACCGCAUAACGUCGCAAGACCAAAGAGGGGGACCUUCGGGCCUCUUGCCAUCAGAUGUGCCCAGAUGGGAUUAGCUAGUAGGUGGGGUAACGGCUCACCUAGGCGACGAUCCCUAGCUGGUCUGAGAGGAUGACCAGCCACACUGGAGCUGAGACACGGUCCAGACUCCUACGGGAGGCAGCAGUGGGGAAUAUUGCACAAUGGGCGCAAGCCUGAUGCAGCCAUGCCGCGUGUAUGAAGAAGGCCUUCGGGUUGUAAAGUACUUUCAGCGGGGAGGAAGGGAGUAAAGUUAAUACCUUUGCUCAUUGACGUUACCCGCAGAAGAAGCACCGGCUAACUCCGUG